rnacentral:lncRNA from 1 species
CUUAGAGAGCUUGGAAACGGCAGACUGACCACCUUACCGCUGUCAUUUGUCUUGUGGAGUAUAAGCUUGGGUAUUUGCUGUGCCACAGGAAGAGUGUUGGACCCAAAAGGUUCCUGCAUCGAAUCAGUCUUCCAAGUGUGAUUAUGUAUCAAGGAAGAAGCAAAAGUAGUAUAUACAUUUUUUUUUCUACAAUAUUAACAAACACAGGUUUCAGAGAAAUAGGUCAGUCAAACAGCCAAGGAUCCUGAAAGAAAUGUGAAGAUUCACCUGUGGGCCAUCAGGAAUUUGUCAGCAGGCAUGCAAAACAGCACACCAUGCCCAAGAAGCUUUGUAAGGUGAAAGGUUUCCUCAGGGAUCAAGAGUUCCAUACCUUCCAUGCACAAACUUGACUCGUAGGGAAUCCUUCCCCUGCAAAACAUCUACAACAUACGACAAGCAUCAUUGCAUGCCUGAUCACCAUCCUUCUUAGGCAUGAGCACCAUCCGGACCAACAUAGUGCCGACCAGGGGUUUGGGAACCGGUUGCCCAAAUAAAAUUUCUACCGAUCUUUGAAAUUUGAUCAAGUACGCCGUUCUAUAUACA